rnacentral:tRNA from 3 species
GGUGACGUGGCCGAGUGGCUAGGCUGCGGUCUGCAAAACCGCCUACGGAGGUUCGACUCCUCUCGUCACCU